AUUUUUGUUUCUUUCUUUCCUUCUUUGCUCUGCUUUUGGCGGGGGGAAGAAGCCGAAGAAGGAAGAGAGCAGGAAACAGAGAGAGAGAGAGAAAUAGAGCCCGACAUGGACGGCCUUCUCGAGUUUAAUCGAGCUCAAGCAUGCUUCUCCUUUCCUAUCUCAUGAGCUUCUAAUUGAUUCCCUAGCUUCUGAUCAUUGCUGAUUUGAUGUCUCUCUGGCUUGUUCUUGCUGGUUUGGUUUCGUUCUAAGGUCGAGGAGCAAUCAGGUGAUGGAAAAAAAAAUGCAACAAUAUAAUGGAACUUGGUUCCAUGAUUCCUUUGUAUUUAAGUCUCUGAUGAUUUUUCAUCUCAAUUCUUCUCCUUUAGCGUUCUUCGAACUCCUUCAAUAUCAAGCAAUCAAAGAUUGCUUCUUUUUGAAACUGUUUCUACGAGAAGGGAUGAAGAGAACUUUUGGUCUGAUUUCAUUUAGUGAGAAUAAGGUUUCGAAAUAAAAUUACUUUGAUGUUUAUAGGAAGAUUUAUGUAUAUUUUUGCCCACCACAGCUAAGUCUAAGGCGUGAUUUGCUGGUUGGAUAGUGGGAUUGAGUAAUUAAGCCGUGAGUUUGAUUGGGUUCAAUGGAGGAUCAAAUUUAUGUUCUGAUUUUAUAUUUGUUGAUUUCAAUUAAUGAGUUUGGUUGGACGAAAAUUACAGAUGCAAUGUUGAGCUCUAUUUAUAAAUGGAUUGCUUGGAGAUUUGAGUGAGAGACAUAAAUCUGAAGAUUGAGUUCUCUUAAACUGUUUUGAGCUGAAAGAAGUAGAUUAUAUGAGAUUGCUUAAGCCUUAUGAGGUUUAUGGAAGGAUAGAGUGUACAUGCUGGUUUUAUGUUCGAUAACUGCAAUUUGUAUGAUUCUUUUUAACGUUGAUAUGUGAUGAUUUAGCUUGUUUGAAGUUGUUGUGAUCCUGGAAGGUCUGUGAUGGUUGACAAAGUUGAGACUGAUAAUUGUUUGUUGGUAUAUUUUAUAAGAUGUUUAUAUUAUAAGUUAUAUUUUUGAAGUUAACAUAAUUGGUAUAUUGAACAGUGUCAUGAGAACUAUAAGAGCUUGAAUGAAUUUAAUAUAUGUAUGGGUUAUAUAAGUUGGUAUUAUGCUGAUAAGUAAGUUCAUACACGUAUGUAUAUAUAUAUAUAUAUAAAUAUGAAGCUUUUUCUUCCAUUUGGUUAGGUCUUCCUUUAUUUGGUGUUAAUCGCUUUAAUAAGUUAGGAAAUAGGAAGGGAAGGUCCUAGCAAUUUGUGUGUGAAUAAAAUAAUGGAUGGGGGCUGAUGGGAAGUAUAGAUAGGUUAGAACUGAACUUGAUUAUGGAAGUAUUUUCUUGAAAUAGGAGAGAGAUCAACCAGCACCAAUAUGUAUAGUGAUUAUAUUGUCUAGUUAUAACAUAUGAUCCGUUCUCAUUUAGGUCAAAGGGGCUAUGCUUGUAAUUUAAUUCUAAAGAGAAAUAGUUAAUCAGUAAACGAAUGUGCUGAAUGGUUUGAUCUUGUAAUGUAUCAUGUAUGUAUAAUUCGAUUCUUGUCAUGCUUAUACUUGUCUAGAGACCGAAGAGACUGAAUCCCAAUAUUCGAAAGGCUCGAUUCGAUGGACGAUAUCUUGGGAGUUUUGAUAAGCUUUUAGCUGCGUGGAAGAAACACUUUUUGAUAUCGGAGAUCGGCUCGGAGAACUAGGUGAUGUAAAGAUGCACGAGGAAAGUGGCCAGGGUGUUUCCAUAAUGAACCAAUCCUGUGGAUUAUUCCUCAUCGAGUUACACGGGGAAGACCCCUUUUCGUUAAAAUUCAACUAUUCUGCAUGUGGAAAAGAAUCAAAAUGUCGGCUUGUUAAGUCGUAAUAAUUUUCGAAGUACUUCCACUUGUGCUUAUUGCCUGCAAACCAUGUUAUUCUUAUUCUUGUCGGAAAACAGGACUCGAGACAAACAUGUUAUUCCCCCAAUGGUUCCGUUCGUACUUCUGUUGGUAAAAGCAUCAAACUUUACGGGAAAAGCAGGAACAGGGCCAUGAAAUCAAGGACUUACUCAACGGGGUAUUCUAUGA